AAUUAAUUUGAAAUGAAAUGUUAAUCGUUUUUAAAUAUAUCUAGUUUUUUCAGAAAAAAAUUUAAUUUUAAAUUUUUUAAGGGGAUAAUUAAUUAAUUAAUUAUUUUUUUUUGAAAAAUUUUAUAUUUUAGGGGAUAAGCUUUAAAUUAAAAAUUUAUAGUAAAAAUUAUUUGUUGGAAAAUUUUAUGAUUUAUAUUGUCAAUAAAAUUUAAUUUUAUUAUAAAUAAUUUCAUUUUAAUAAAAAUUUAAUUUAAUUUAAUUUUUUAUGGGGGAAAAAAUUUUAAUUAAAAAAAUUUAGUUAUAAUGAUAAAAUUAGUAUAGUUAAUUAUUAUUAUUAAAAUUUAAUUUAUUAAUUAAUUUAAUUAAUAAAAAGGAAUUCGGCAAAUAUUUAUAUUCACUUGUUUAUCAAAAACAUGUCUUUUUGAAUUUAAUUUAAAGUCUAAUCUGCCCACUGAUUUAUUAUUGAAGGGCUGCAGUAUAUUGACUGUACAAAGGUAGCAUAAUCAUUAGUCAUUUAAUUGAUGACUUGUAUGAAAGAUUGAAUGAAAUAUAAACUGUCUCUUUAUUAAUUUAUAGAACUUAAUUUUUUAAUCAAAAAGUUAAAAUAAUUUAAAAAGACGAAGAAGACCCUAUAGAGUUUUAUAAAAAAAAUUAUUUAUAAAUAUUUGUAAAAGAAAAGUUUAAAUAAAUUUUUUUUAUUUUGUUGGGGUGAUAAAAAAAUAAAAAAAACUUUUUUUCUAUUAAUUACAUAAAUAAAUGAUUAAUUGAUCCAAUUUUAUUGAUUAAAAGAAAUAAUUACCUUAGGGAUAACAGCGUAAUUUUUUUUUUUAGUUCAAAUAAGAAAAAGAGUUUGCGACCUCGAUGUUGGAUUAAGAUAAAAUUUAAAUGCAAAAGUUUAAAAUUUUG
rnacentral:rRNA from 1 species